AGAAGAAGAAGAAGAAGAAGCAGAAGGAGAAGGUUCUUGAAGUUCAGGAAAGUUUGGACUUUCUCCUUCUAAAAACCGUAAAAGAAGAGCAGCCUGGACCUGCCACCAACAUGGCUGACGAGUGACGAGACACAGUCCUAGAAGGACUUGGACCUGGUUUUGAUCUCACAAUGUAAAAAAAAGGAGAAGGGCGUCUAAACAUGAAAGAAAGCAGAAAACUUAGCCUGAAUGUGACAUAGGAGGGUAAUUUACAAGCAGACGACGUCCAAAUGACGCGUCGUUACAGAGGAACCCAGGAUGUGCUGCACUGGCUACGCUGGUUUUCUCUUGUACUGGGAGACUGAGGUGUAUACUG